CACGCCGUAAACGAUGGGUGCUAGGUGUCGCGGGCUUUGACUCCCGCGGUGCCGUAGCUAACGCAUUAAGCACCCCGCCUGGGAAGUACGGCCGCAAGGCUAAAACUCAAAGGAAUUGACGGGGGCCCGCACAAGCGGUGGAGCAUGUGGUUUAAUUCGACGCAACGCGAAGAACCUUACCUGGGCUAGAAAACGUAGGAACCUGGCAGAAAUGUCGGGGUGCUCUUCGGAGAAUCUAUGGUUAGGUGC
rnacentral:rRNA from 1 species